GACGAACGCUGGCGGUGUGCUUAACACAUGCAAGUCGAACGGUAAGGCCCUUUCGGGGGUACACGAGUGGCGAACGGGUGAGUAACACGUGAGUAACCUGCCCUCAUCUCUGGGAUAACAGUCGGAAACGGUUGCUAAUACUGGAUAUGAGCUUGCAAGGCAUCUUGUGGGUUGGAAAGAUUUUUUUUGGUUGGGGAUGGACUCGCGGCCUAUCAGCUUGUUGGUGAGGUAGUGGCUCACCAAGGCUUCGACGGGUAGCCGGCCUGAGAGGGCGACCGGCCACAUUGGGACUGAGAUACGGCCCAAACUCCUACGGGAGGCAGCAGUGGGGAAUAUUGCACAAUGGACGGAAGUCUGAUGCAGCAACGCCGCGUGCGGGAUGACGGCCUUCGGGUUGUAAACCGCUUUCAAUUGUGACGAAGCUUUUUGUGACGGUAGCAGUAGAAGAAGCACCGGCUAACUACGUG
rnacentral:rRNA from 1 species